rnacentral:rRNA from 1 species
CGUGUCGUGAGAUGUUGGGUUAAGGUCCGUAACGAGCGCAACCCUUGUCCUUAGUUACCAGCACGUUAUGGUGGGCACUCUAAGGAGACUGCCGGUGACAAACCGGAGGAAGGUGGGGAUGACGUCAAGUCAUCAUGGCCCUUACGGCCUGGGCUACACACGUGCUACAAUGGUCGGUACAAAGGGUUGCCAAGCCGCGAGGUGGAGCUAAUCCCAUAAAACCGAUCGUAGUCCGGAUCGCAGUCUGCAACUCGACUGCGUGAAGUCGGAAUCGCUAGUAAUCGUGAAUCAGAAUGUCACGGUGAAUACGUUCCCGGGCCUU